GAUGAACGCUGGCGGCGUGCCUAAUACAUGCAAGUCGAGCGAACAGACGAGGAGCUUGCUCCUCUGACGUUAGCGGCGGACGGGUGAGUAACACGUGGAUAACCUACCUAUAAGACUGGGAUAACUUCGGGAAACCGGAGCUAAUACCGGAUAAUAUAUUGAACCGCAUGGUUCAAUAGUGAAAGACGGUUUUGCUGUCACUUAUAGCUGGAUCCGCGCCGCAUUAGCUAGUUGGUAAGGUAACGGCUUACCAAGGCAACGAUGCGUAGCCGACCUGAGAGGGUGAUAGGCCACACUGGAACUGAGACACGGUCCAGACUACUACGGGAGGCAGCAGUAGGGAAUCUUCCGCAAUGGGCGAAAGCCUGACGGAGCAACGCCGCGUGAGUGAUGAAGGUCUUCGGAUCGUAAAACUCUGUUAUUAGGGAAGAACAAAUGUGUAAGUAACUAUGCACGUCUUGACGGUACCUAAUCAGAAAGCCACGGCUAACUACGUG
rnacentral:rRNA from 1 species